AGGCCUCCAUGGGGGAACUGAGAAGC
rnacentral:piRNA from 1 species